AGCAGCCGCGGUAAUUCCAGCUCCAAUAGCGUAUAUUAAAGUUGUUGCAGUUAAAAAGCUCGUAGUUGAAUUUCGGGGUUAGUAGGCUGGUCGUGCCACAGGUAUGUACUGGUCUUACUGAUUCCUUCUUCCUGAUGAACCGUAAUGCCAUUAAUUUGGUGUUGCGGGGAAACUGGACUGUUACUUUGAAAAAUUAGAGUGUUUAAAGCAGGCUAACGCUUGAAUACAUUAGCAUGGAAUAAUGAAAUAGGACGUUCGAUCCUAUUUUGUUGGUUUCUAGGAUUGACGUAAUGAUUAAUAGGGAUAGUUGGGGGCAUUAGUAUUCAAUUGUCAGAGGUGAAAUUCUUGGAUUUAUUGAAGACUAACUACUGCGAAAGCAUUUGCCAAGGAUGUUUUCAUUAAUCAAGAACGAAAGUUAGGGGAUCGAAGACGAUCAGAUACCGUCGUAGU
rnacentral:rRNA from 1 species